CUCAGGACGAACGCUGGCGGCGCGCUUAACACAUGCAAGUCGAGCGAGAACCGGGACUUCGGUCCUGGGGACAGCGGCGAACGGGUGAGUAACACGUGAGUAACCUACCCUCGGCACCGGAAUAGCCGGGGGAAACUCGGAUUAAUGCCGGAUGGCCCCAUCGUCUCGCGGGAUGAUGGGAAAAGGUAGCUUCGGCCUCUGGCCGAGGAUGGGCUCGCGGCGGAUUAGCUUGUUGGCGGGGUAAUGGCCCACCAAGGCGACGAUCCGUAGCUGGUCUGAGAGGACGAUCAGCCACACUGGGACUGAGACACGGCCCAGACUCCUACGGGAGGCAGCAGUGGGGAAUCUUGCGCAAUGGGCGAAAGCCUGACACAGCGACGCCGCGUGGGGGAAGAAGGCCUUCGGGUUGUAAACCUCUUUCAGGUGGGACGAAGCCACUCGGGUGAAUAGCCCAGAGGGUGACGGUACCUCCAGAAGAAGCCCCGGCUAACUACGUGCCAGCAGCCGCGGUAAUACGUAGGGGGCAAGCGUUGUCCGGAUUUAUUGGGCGUAAAGAGCGUGUAGGCGGCCUGGUAGGUCGGUUGUGAAAACUGGAGGCUUAACCUUCAGACGUCGACCGAAACCCCCAGGCUAGAGUCCGGAAGAGGAGAGUGGAAUUCCUGGUGUAGCGGUGAAAUGCGCAGAUAUCAGGAAGAACACC
rnacentral:rRNA from 1 species